rfam:Pseudogymnoascus sp. 05NY08 unplaced genomic scaffold scaffold_60, whole genome shotgun sequence.
ACAUACGACCAUAGACUCAAGAGAACUGGGCAUCCCGUCCGCUCUGCCAUACAUAACCUUGAGAUCGGUGGAUUAGUAGUUGGGUGGGUGACCACCAGCGAAUACCCACUGUUGUAUGUA